rnacentral:rRNA from 1 species
AGUGAACGCUGGCGGUAGGCCUAACACAUGCAAGUCGAACGGCAGCACAGUAAGAGCUUGCUCUUACGGGUGGCGAGUGGCGGACGGGUGAGGAAUACAUCGGAAUCUACUUUUUCGUGGGGGAUAACGUAGGGAAACUUACGCUAAUACCGCAUACGACCUACGGGUGAAAGCAGGGGAUCUUCGGACCUUGCGCGAUUGAAUGAGCCGAUGUCGGAUUAGCUAGUUGGCGGGGUAAAGGCCCACCAAGGCGACGAUCCGUAGCUGGUCUGAGAGGAUGAUCAGCCACACUGGAACUGAGUCACGGUCCAGACUCCUACGGGAGGCAGCAGUGGGGAAUAUUGGACAAUGGGCGCAAGCCUGAUCCAGCCAUACCGCGUGGGUGAAGAAGGCCUUCGGGUUGUAAAGCCCUUUUGUUGGGAAAGAAAAGCAGCAGGUUAAUACCCCGCUGUUCUGACGGUUCCCAAAGAAUAAGCACCGGCUAACUUCGU